rnacentral:rRNA from 1 species
UACGUAGGGGGCUAGCGUUGUCCGGAAUCAUUGGGCGUAAAGCGCGUGUAGGCGGUUCGGUAAGUCUGCUGUGAAAGUCGGGGGCUCAACCCUCGGAUGCCGGUGGAUACUGCCGGGCUAGAGUACGGAAGAGGCGAGUGGAAUUCCUGGUGUAGCGGUGAAAUGCGUAGAUAUCUGGAGGAAUACCGGUGGCGAAGGCGGCAUCCUGGACCAUUACUGACGCUGAGGCGCGAAAGCUAGGGGAGCAAACGGG